ACCAGACUCCUACGGGAGGCAGCAGUGGGGAAUAUUGCACAAUGGGGGGAACCCUGAUGCAGCGACGCCGCGUGGGUGAAGAAGCGCCUCGGCGCGUAAAGCCCUGUCAGCAGGGAAGAAAAUGACGGUACCUGAAGAAGAAGCCCCGGCUAACUACGUGCCAGCAGCCGCGGUAAUACGUAGGGGGCAAGCGUUAUCCGGAUUUACUGGGUGUAAAGGGGGCGCAGACGGCGAUGCAAGCCAGGAGUGAAAGCCCGGGGCCCAACCCCGGGACUGCUCUUGGAACUGCGUGGCUGGAGUGCAGGAGGGGCAGGCGGAAUUCCUGGUGUAGCGGUGAAAUGCGUAGAUAUCAGGAGGAACACCGGUGGCGAAGGCGGCCUGCUGGACUGCAACUGACGUUGAGGCCCGAAAGCGUGGGGAGCAAACAGGAUUAGAUACCCGGGUAUC
rnacentral:rRNA from 1 species